UACGUAGGUGGCAAGCGUUGUCCGGAUUUAUUGGGCGUAAAGCGAGCGCAGGCGGUUCCUUAAGUCUGAUGUGAAAGCCCACGGCUCAACCGUGGAAGGUCAUUGGAAACUGGGGAACUUGAGUGCAGAAGAGGAGAGUGGAAUUCCAUGUGUAGCGGUGAAAUGCGUAGAUAUAUGGAGGAACACCAGUGGCGAAGGCGACUCUCUGGUCUGUAACUGACGCUGAGGAACGAAAGCGUGGAUAGCAAACAGGAUUAGA
rnacentral:rRNA from 1 species